rnacentral:sRNA from 1 species
AGCAGAUCAAUUGGCAAACGGAGUCAAACAAACAGUGCUAGCCGGCGGUUACAGAUAGAAAUCCUCUACCAGCCGGUUUUCCCGUCACCUUGGCAGCUAAGAUGCGCCGGAGUAUAGCUGGUGGCAGCCUUGCUUCUUCCCAUUGAAGAAGCGCACAACAAGCAUUUUAUCUUGCUGUUAUGAUUUGGCGCUUGAUAUGCAUCACUCGGCCAUGAUUCGGUUUGAAUGGAGUUGCCCGGAUAUAUGAGGCCCAAAUACAUGCGUCUUGUUGUGGAG